CUACGGAGGGUGCAAGCGUUAAUCGGAAUUACUGGGCGUAAAGAGUACGUAGGUGGUUUAUUAAGUCAGAUGUGAAAGCCCCGGGCUUAACCUGGGAACUGCAUUUGAUACUGGCAAACUAGAGUAUGGUAGAGGCGGGUAGAGUUCCUAGUGUAGCGGUGAAAUGCGUAGAUAUUAGGAGGAAUACCAGUGGCGAAGGCGGCCCGCUGGACCAAUACUGACACUGAGGUACGAAAGCGUGGGUAGCGAACAGGAUUAGAUACCCUAGUAGUCC
rnacentral:rRNA from 1 species